rnacentral:rRNA from 1 species
UACGUAGGGGGCAAGCGUUGUCCGGAAUCAUUGGGCGUAAAGCGCGUGUAGGCGGCUCGGUAAGUCUGCUGUGAAAGUCGGGGGCUCAACCCUCGAAUGCCGGUGGAUACUGUCGGGCUAGAGUGCGGAAGAGGCGAGUGGAAUUCCUGGUGUAGCGGUGAAAUGCGCAGAUAUCAGGAGGAACACCUAUUGCGAAGGCAGCUCGCUGGGACGUAACUGACGCUGAGACGCGAAAGCGUGGGGAGCAAACAGG